rnacentral:rRNA from 1 species
UUAUACGAGAGACCCAAGUUGUUAGACACCGGCGUAAAGAGUGGUUAAGAUACCCCCCCCCCAACUAAAGCCGAACGCCCUCUGAGCUGUUAUACGCAUCCGAAGGUAAGAAGCCCGACCACGAAA